UACAGGGGGGGGCAAGCGUUGUUCGGAAUUACUGGGCGUAAAGGGCUCGUAGGUGGCCAACUAAGUCAGACGUGAAAUCCCUCAGCUUAACUGGGGAACUGCGUCUGAUACUGGAUGGCUUGAGUUUGGGAGAGGGGAUGCGGAAUUCCAGGUGUAGCGGUGAAAUGCGUAGAUAUCUGGAGGAACACCGGUGGCGAAGGCGGCAUCCUGGACCAACACUGACACUGAGGAGCGAAAGCCAGGGGAGCAAACGGG
rnacentral:rRNA from 1 species